rnacentral:tRNA from 1 species
ACACUGGUGGUUCAGUGGUAGAAUUCUCGCCUUCCAUGUGGGAGACGCAGGUUUGAUUCCUGGCCAGUGUA